UACGAAGGGGGCUAGCGUUGUUCGGAAUCACUGGGCGUAAAGGGCGCGUAGGCGGCUUUAUAAGUCGGGGGUGAAAGCCUGUGGCUCAACCACAGAAUUGCCUUCGAUACUGUAGAGCUUGAGACCGGAAGAGGUAAGUGGAACUGCGAGUGUAGAGGUGAAAUUCGUAGAUAUUCGCAAGAACACCAGUGGCGAAGGCGGCUGACUGGUCCGGUUCUGACGCUGAGGCGCGAAAGCGUGGGGAGCAAACAGG
rnacentral:rRNA from 1 species